GUAUAAAUAUAUUAUAUGAUAUAAAUAGGAUGUGUAAAUUUCUCAUGUUUUAUGAUUAUCUAAAUAAAAUUAAUUACAUGAUCUUUUUAAAUUAAAUUAAAAAUUCGAUCAUUUUGUCAGGAAAAUGUACACGAAAUAAUACUUAUUAAUAUUUAUAUGAGAAACCUUAAGAAUAAACGAUACUAUUUAUUUUUCUUAUAUUAAAUUCCUUUUUUUAACUUUUUGUUUUCUAAUCCUUUAAAAACUAAAGAUCUAUAAGAUAAUAUAUAUAAUAUUAUCAUAUCAUCAUAUUAUUGGCAAUCAUAUUAUUGGACCGUAUUUUAUUGAUGGAUCAUUAACAGGUCAGAAGUAUUCGAUAUUUUUGUCUGAAAUACUGUCAAAUUUAUUACAAAAUGUACCGUAUCAAAUUCGUUUAACAAUGUGGUACCAACAUGAUGGUUGUCCCGCACAUUACGCGCAGCAAGCACGGCGAGUAUUACAAAGACAGUUUCCUAACCGGUGGAUUGGACGGGGCGGUGAUGUUGUAUGGCCAGCUCGUUCACCGGACUUAACACCGCUUGAUUACUUUCUAUGGGGGGCAGUAAAAAACGACGUAUAUCGCGAACCACCAACAACAGUAGAGGAUAUGCGAGAACGCAUUAUUAAUACAUGUGCUGCUAUAACUCCGGACAUGCUUCAGAAUGCUAAUCGUUCGUUCAUUAAGAGGUUACGCAGUUGUAUUGAGAAUGACGGACGUUAGUUCGAGCAAUAUUUGAAAUAAUAAAAGCGUUGGACAUUCUAUCGGAAUCCGAGAAAAAAUGUUGAACAUCCCAUUUAAAAAACUGAAGGUGACCUUCAUAUUUCGAUAAAAAAGAAAGAUAGCAAACAAAUGAUCAUUGCAUUAUGUGUCCCCCUUCGUACUAUGCAACUUUUGUCAGAACAAUUUUUUCAUAUAGCACAUAUGUUACGAUUUAUUUAAGGUCGUCAAGUUAGGUGACUCACCCUGUAUAUAUAAUAUUUAUGUAAUAAAUAUCUUUUUAUGUCAAGUGCUUGUUUAGAUUAAAUAAAAUGAAUAAAUGAAUUAAGAAUUGGGAAAAGGAAAGAAAGAGGUCUAUAAUUAAAAAUCACAUGCCUAAUAAAAUCGGUAUAAUAAUCGUAUAUAAUUUUUUCAAAUCUUCUUAGAUUUGUUUUUCAUUUUACAUACAUAUAUCGUGUGGUUCGAAAAUAACUACUUCGUAUAUACAUGUACAGAGACAGUGCCGUGCGCGCUGUGUAUCUAUAUUAUAAUUACACAUGACAAUAAUAAUUAUAUAAUAAACAAUCUAUGUUACAACAAAUUAUUGUUCGUCAAAAAGCAAAGAUAGAAACUCUCUCUCUCUCAUAUACAUACACAUACCAUACACGUUUUCUCUCUUUCAUUCUCAUCUAUGCUUAAUAAUAUACAAGCGAUCAAUAUUUUUUAAUAUAACGGUAAUUAUAAUAUACAUUGUACAACACUUUGGAGGAAUGUGAUGGCGUCUCUAAUUAGCACCACAACUUCUUGGAUCUAUCGAUUCUCAAUUCUUAAUUAAUCUUGGAUGUAAAGCAACCAAGAAUACGAUCAUCUAAAUUUGGUUAACGUCUAUUAUUUAAAAGAACGUUACUUUUUAAUUU
rnacentral:lncRNA from 1 species